CUACAGAACAUAGUACCAUGUCUCAAAUCAUAUUUGAGAGAUUCCACACAAAUUUUAAACCUUUUAUCAGAUUUUAAUUGGUCCGAUGAUAUGAUUUUAGUCACGGCAGACGUCACCUCACUAUAUACAGUGAUAGAGCACCUCCAAGGGUGUGAGGCAAUACAAUUUUCACUGGCCGUUUAUUCGGAAUUAAAGAAUGAUCAGAUUGAUUUCCUAAUACAAUGUAUUGCUUUUAUCC